AUCUAAAAAUUGUUUAAUUAUUUUUGUAUUUAUUUAUAUUUUAUUGAUUUAAAAAAAUUGUUACAAAUAAGAAUCGUGAUUUAUGUGAAUCGGCAGCUAGUGCUGUUGGCAGCACGCUAGGACACGCCCCCUGCUCACGCUGGGCGCUCCAUGCCCACGCAAAGGGCGAAACUGCACGCAAUCAGCGCACCUGGGACCAAUCAAAACAAGCAGCAUAAAGACCAGCGUACCCAUGGAGCCUAGGCCGGAAAGUAGUUUCUCUUUGCAGUAAGCAUCCUGUCUCCGACUUCCACUCUCACGUACUUAUUACCUUUUUGUCCCGUCUCUCAUGUCCUUCCUGUUCCCUGUGAUGGAGUUGUGUAUCUCCACUUCCACCUGGAUUCCGAACUGCCUCCCUCCAUCCUCGACCCCUGCUUGGACACGGACCUUGUGGGUUCUCUGCAGCCCCGGACCACUUGAUUGCCCAGGGACUUCCUCUUUGCCUCGCCCCUGUGGACUGACCAAGGAGUCAUCCAACACGCACUGGCUCAGACUGCAGACGUGUGUUCUCCUGCGAGGAACCUCUGGAGGAACCCGGCAGGUGGAGGGCCAACAGGUGCAGGUUCAGGCGCCAACGACUGCUUUAGUUUGUGGUGUGAGGCUGCAAACAUCCAGGAGGGGGCAGUGUGGCGUCAUCCAUCUUCUGCUCUGGUCUGUGGGAGAAGGUCCAGAUGUUGGAGGAGGACCCAGACAGGUAAUGCAUGUACACACACACAACUUGGCAGGACAUUUCUUCCCCACCUGUGACUCCACCUGUGUCUCCAUCUUUCUAUCAGGGGAUAGACAGAGGGGGAAAUUGUGGGCACAAGAGGGGGAAAACAACAGCAAACACAUCAACAAGAGCGACAUCAGCAAAUAGGAUAUGUACAAAUAUGAUUGGAAAAGUGAUGGCAAAGAAGCAGUUAGUGAAAUAAAUAAUAAUAUAGAAUGACAAUGAGCAUUAUUACCCUACAAAUGGAUCAAUACAAAUACCAAUAGAAAUACCACUAUUGAUCAUGAACAAUACCAAUAAUUGGCCUCUAUUACCAACAAUACAGUUGUUCAAAUGCAACAAUAUAUACCGUAUUUCCUUGAAUUGCCGCCGGGUAUAUAGUAUGCACCUGCCUAGAAUUACUGCCGGGUCGAACUCGUUUCGCAAAAUAUUCAGCGCAUGCUUAGCAUUUCCACAGGGUCAAACUCGUCACGUCACGAGUGACACUUCACCAGUCAUCAUUUUCAAAACGGAGGAGGCUGAUUUCAAUCAUUUGAAAUCGCAUAAAGGGAAGAAGAUUAAGAGCUAUUCAGUAGGAUUUAAGGUCCAAGCUAUUGAAUGUGCUAAAAAGAACAGUAAGCAGCUAUGUUUUAUUAAUAUACCGUAGCUGCGUGUGUCAAAUAUGAGUCAUUAAAUGACUCCCGCCUCCUGGUGGUAGAGGGCGCUAGUGAUCCUUCUUGCGACUACUUGGCUGCAGAAGAAGUGACAACAAGCAGCCAUCGUUUAUUUUUUCCUCUCACUUGCACUUUUAACAUGGAGGAUUACAUAUCUAAAAUAAAACAGUUUUCUAAACUGGACUUUCAAUGGAAGCAGGAGGUAAUAAAAGAAGAUCUCCAUCGAGACAGAGAGACUUUUAAAACUGAAGAAAGAUAAGGAAGACUUCUAUAAACAAGUUAUCGAUGCUGUUGAUCAGAAGGAGCUGCGCAUGGACUUCAUUUAUAAGUAAAGGUAAGACCAUAAUAACGUUUUUUUUUUUUUAAAUGUGCUUUUCAUGAUGGUAUCCUUACAUCACACUCAAAUUUAUAAGCGCAGGCCUAAAUUUGUCGCAUGCCUUUGGUAAGUGCCGGAGUGAGAAGAGGUUUUAAAUUAGUUAGUUACUCGGCGGCAAUUCAAGGAAAUACGGUAUACGUAAUGAUGUCAUGUCGAGGGGCUCGCAGCUCGUUGCGGGGUUUGUUCUCCCAGGAUGCUAACGGACUACUCUGGACCAGGCGUGGAGGUAGGUACAUAUUUAAUAUCUUCUCUCAAAAAUUUACAAAAAAAAAAAAAAAACGGGAAACAAGGCUGAUCGCACUUGGAGUUCUAGUAAACUACUAGCAUCCACACCGGACUCUGUCAUCCAUGUCUUUACGGACCUUGUGUUGUGCACUAAUGCACAGUCAUGGUGGUAGAGGUAGCGGCACUCCAAACUGUUCCCACAAGGUUGGGAGAAUGGAAUUCACCAAAAUGUUUUGGUAUCCUGCAGCGUUCAAAGUUCCCUUUCACUGGAACUAAGGGGCCAAGCUCAACUCCUGAAAAACAAGCCCACACCAUAAUUCCUCUGCCGACGCAUCUCUCGUCAGUUUACGUGGCCGACCACUUGGUGGAUAAGUUGCUGUUGGAAUAUUUAGGAGGGAAUUUCACAACUGGAUUUGUUGCACAGGUGGCAUCCUAUGACAGUUCCAUGCUGGAAAUCACUGAGAGCGGCCCGUUCUUUCGCAAAUGUUUGUGGAAACAGUCUCGAUGCCUAAGUGCUUGAUUUGAUACGCCGGUCCAAGUGAUUAGGACACCUGAUUCUCAUCAUUUGGAUGGUCGGCCAAAUACUUUUGGCAACAUACUGUAUUUAUGCUGCGAUAUUAGCAUUUUUUCCCUUGUCACCUGCGGACGGUAAACCCGGUAAGCGCGCCCGGUGGUGGUGAGGCGGGCAGACGGCAGCCUGGAUAAAUAAACAGGAGAGCAGCACCGUGGCCCCCGCCUGCCUGCCAUCCAUCAGCGUUACAGUGCACACUGGCAGCCUAAUCGGCCGCUUAUGGGCCCGCGGAAUGACCAAAACAUCUGCUGGUGCACAUGCUUCGGUGUCAUACCACGUCGGGAUGGAGCGGUGACAAAGUCUGCACUGCUUCCAUCGCCAACAUCCAAUUGAAAACUUUGGAAAGUCCUGAAAUGCCAGUGAGGAGGGGAAUCGCUUUUUCAUGGAUUGAUGCAAGAGAGGCAGGGACCCUUGGUGUGGGCCCCUCAGAGGGGGUGUGGGCCCCUCAGAAGUGAAGAGGAAAGCACAAAGUAACUGUUUGGGAGAUGGAUAGUUUUCAAGGCUCCCGCAGCACAAAUGCAGGGAGAAUCUCUUGUCUGGAAGUCAAAGGUUUUGCGUUUGGACCAGAUGUUCCUCCGAGGGAAUUGAAGUCGCUGGUCAACCCCAAGUUCUUUUGAUGACACAUAAGCUGAUUUUAAAUAAAUCCCAGACAGAAUAGGUAUUUUGACAUUUUAUACCAAAGCUUUGGAGAGACCAAUCUCUGAACAACACAUUCAAAUCGCAUCGCCCAAGUUGAUCUGAAAACACUACGGAUGUUGUGAACCGGCUUCCGGAUCACACAUCUAGUUUGUUUAAGUCCCUUUUGUAUUUUCAUAUUAUGUAUUUUCUUAUGUUUGUACUCUAUUUGAGCACUUCCUUGUUUACAUUCGUUACCAUGGUUUUCAUCAUCUGUUUCACCUGCUCUUACUUUCGGAUGCGCACCGGUUCCUGAUUGUUGUGUUGAUAUUUAAGUCCACCUGUUACCUCAGUUCCACCUGGUUUGUUCGUUAGCUCAUGCAACAGCUACCCGAGUAAUUUCUCCUUGUAUGCACUCUGCUAAGUUUUAGCUUAGCUUCGCGCUCUCGGUUCGCGCUAUUGUUUGGACUUGUGAACUCUACCCUUGCUAACUUUAGCUCCCUGCUAUCCGUGCAUUGGCACACUUUUAUUUUACCCCUUUGUACUAGUGUUCUUUUGUUGUAUUUAUCAUUAAAACUUGCUCCUACCUUCACUCCUGCCUGUCUGGAAGUCAAAAGUGUUGCGUUUGGACCAGAUGUUCCUCCGAGGGAAUUGAAGUUGCUGGUCAACCCCAAGUUCUUUUAAUGACACAUAAACUGAUUUUAAAUAAAUCCCAGACAGAAUAGGUAUUUUGACAUUUUAUACCAAAGCUUUGGAGAGACCAAUUUAUGAACAACACAUUCAAAUCACAUCGCCCAAGUUGAUCUGAAAACAGUACGGAUGUUGUGAUCCGGCUUCCGGCUUUCGGAUCACAACAUCUAGUUUGUUUAAGUCCCUUUUGUAUUUUCAUAUUAUGUAUUUUCUUAUGUUUGGACUCUGCCGAUCCCAUUAUUUGAGCACUUCCCGACGUAACAACGGAAGUCUUGCCUUUUUCAAUACGCCACUAGCCCUCACCAACAACAACAACAACAACAACAACAAUUCUUUGCUUUUGUUGACAAAAAACAAUCAAGGUGGAUUUUUGUUUUGUUUUGCUUUUUCCUUGCAUUUUCACUGCAGGACCAGAACUCCCAAGAUGAAGAUUGGAGAAAAAAUACAUUUUAAUAGUAAUACUAGUAAUAAUAGUGGAGCAACUCGAGGGUUCCAGGUUCCAUCCCCACUUCUGCCGAUGUGUCCUUGUGCAAGGCACCUGCUUUCCUUUCACCUAUUAACAGUAAUCAUAGUAAUAAGUACUUCAAGGUAAAACAUGACUGCUGUGUACAAUAAAAACAAUGUAACACUUAUAUAUGAAUGUUGGGAAUAAUACAUGAAUGAAUGCUUCAUUUCAAAGAAUAAAUAACAAUAAAAGUAAUAACAGAAUGUAUGAACAUUAAAUAUCUGAAUGUCGAUAUUAUGAAGUAAAAAUAGAAUGUUAUAACUAAAUGUAUCUUCAAUUUAGAUUUGUACUUUAAUGUUAUGUAACAAAUAUGUGAAUAUACUGCAAUGUUAUUUUUAGCAGAGUACUUGUCUUGUACUUGAUGUACUCCUACUUCCGAGUCACUUUGUCAAGUACUAGUAAGGGAAGAGAUGAUGAAGUACUUGAAGUGUGUUUUGAAUAAGUACACUUUUGUGCUGAGAUUUACUAGCAAUUCUAAGAGAGAAAAAACUCAAAUAGAAUUUGAAAAUCCAAGAAAAUAUUUUAAAGACUUGGUCUUCACUCGUUUAAAUAAAUUCAUUUUUUUUUUUUUUACUUUACUUCUUCUAACUUUCAGAAAGACAAUUUUAGAGAAAAAAUACAACCUUAAAAAUGAUUUUAGUAUUUUUAAACACAUAUACCUUUUUACCUUUUAAAUUCCUUCCUCUUCUUUCCUGACAAAUUUAAAUCAAUGUUUAAGUAUUUUUUUUUUUUUAUUGUAAAGAAUAAUAAAUACAUUUUAAUUUAAUUCUUCAUUUUAGCUUCUGUUUUUUCGACAAAGAAUAAUUUUGAAAUAUUUCUUCAAACUUAUUAUCAUUAAAAAAUUAAAAGAAAAUAUUCUGGCAAAUCUAGAAAAUUUGUAGAAUCAAAUUUAAAUCUUAUUUCAAAGUCUUUUGAAUGUAUUUUAAAAUUUUUGUUCUGGAAAAUUUAGAACAAAAUAAUGAUUUGUCUUUGUUAGAAAUAUAGCUUGGUCCAAUUUGUUACAUAUUCUAACAAAGUGCAGAUUGGAUUUUAACCUAUUUAAAACAUGUCAUCAAAAUUCUAAAAUUAAUAAUAAUCAGGAAAAAUUACUAAUGAUGUUCCUAAAAUAAUUUUUUUAAUUUUUUCAAAAAGAUUCGAAUUAGCCAGUUUUUCUCUUCAUUUUGUUUGGUUGAAUUUUGAAUUUUAAAGAGUCGAAAUUGAAGAUAAACUGUUUAAAAUUUUAAUUUUCUUUUUUUUUCGUGUUUUCUCCUCUUUUAAACCGUUUAAUUAAGUGUUUUUUUCAUCAUUUAUUCUCUACAAAAAACCUUCCGUAAAAGGAAAAAAAUGUACGACGGAAUGACUGACAGAAUUACCCGUUUUUUUAUACAUAUAUAGAUUUAUUUAUUAAAGGUAAAUUAAACAAAUUGGCUAUUUCUGGCAAUGUAUUUAAGUGUGUAUCAAACUGGUAGCCCUUGGCAUGAAUCAGUACCCAAGAAGUAGCUCUUGUUUUGAAAAAGGUUGCUGACCCCUGAUGUAAACUAUGUACUUCAACUCUGCUUCUCCGUCAAACACACCAUCAGCAGCUUCACCAGAGUUUCAUGGAGAAAUGUUUAAAUGUUAUCAUAUUAUAUGAAACAUGGACACCAGCGAACAUGAAGGAUGUCCAGAUCAGAACGUUUGGCCUCAAAUCCAAGUUCAGGUCCAGACUUGGUACUUUGGGACUAGUUGACUUCAUCCAUCUGCUGCCAUGAAAAAUGGAUGCAGCGGCUAUUGAUUGUAUGACUUUACAAAUGAAACAUAAGCCAUUUGAUAUAUUUUGCUGUCAAAAUAAAAGUGAUAUAGAGUUAUGUUCUAUUUGAAA